CUCUCUCAAUUUGUCCAAUAAGAAACUUUUCCUUUUCUGUUGCAAAGUGUUUUGGCAUGUUUUGAUACGGUGUGCACUAAUCAAUGAUAGUUUUCCCUGUUCCUUAGGGUUAGGCUAUAUUUUUCUCUCAGAAAAUACAACUUCCAUCUGGAAAAUAUGUAAAUGUUGGUCAUUCAGCCCUCCAGUAAUGAUACAUUAGUGAUGUACACAGUUAUAUAUUCAUAACAUCUGAUAUCUAACAGGGUGAAAUCAUCUUUCUGUUUAGGAAAUUAUUUUGGUCAUGUAGUGUAUGCUCGUCGAACAUCUCAUUCCUAAAUCAUGGGCAUUAAUAUGGAGUUGGUUGGUACCCCUUUGCUGCUAUAACACUCUUCUGGGAAGGCUUUCCACUAGAUGUUGGAGCGUUGCUGCGGGGACUUGCUUCCAUUCAGUCAUGAGCAUUAGUGAGGUCAGGAACUGACGUUGGGUGAUUAGGUCUGCUCGCAGUCGGCGUUCCAAUUCAUUCCAAAGGUGUUUGAUGGAGUUGAGGUCAGGGCUCUGUGCAGGCCAGUCAAGUUAUUCCACAUCGAUCUCGACAAACCAUUUCUGUAUGGACCUCACUUUUGUGCACUGAUUCAGCAUUGCAAUGCUGAAACAGGAAAGGGCCUUCCCCAAAUUGUUGCCACAAAGUUGGAAGCACAGAAUCAUCUAGAAUGUCAUUGUAUUAUUCCUCCUCCACCAAACUUUUGCAGUUGACACUAUGCAUUCGGGCAGGUAGCGCUCUCCUGGUAUCCGCCAAACACAGAUUUGUCCAUCAGACUGCCAAAUGGUGAAGCGUGAUUAAUUACUCCAGAGAGCGCAUUUCCCCUGCUCCAGAGUCCAAUAGCGGCAAGCUUUACACCACUCCAGCCGACGCUGGCGUUGCGCAUGGUGAUCUUAGGCUUGUGUGCGGCUGCUCGGCCAUGGAAACCCAUUUCAGGAAGCUGCCGACAAACCGUUCUUGUGCUGAUGUUGCUUCCAGAGGCAGUUUGGAAAUCGGUAAUGAGUGUUACAAAUGAGGACAGAAGAUUUUUACGCAUUGUGUUCUUCAGCACUCGGCGGUCCCAUUCUGUAAGCUUGUGUGGCCUACUUGCAGUUGACCGUGGCAGCUCUAGCAGGGCAUAGAUUUUACAAACUGACUUGUUGGAAAGGUGGCAUCCUAUGACGGUGCCACAUUGAAAGUCACAGCUCUUCAGUAAGACCAUUCUGCUGACAAUGUUUGUCUAUGGAGAUUGCAUGGCGGCGUGCUAGAUUGUAUAUACCUGUCAGCAACAGGUGUGGCUGAAAUAGCCUAAUCCAUUCAUUUGAAGGAGUGUCCACAUACUUUUGGCCAUGUAGUGAAUGUAACUCCUAAUAUGAAAGGAGACAUCCCCCCGUGAUGUAGGAGCUUGGCCACUAGGCGGGACAGUAGAUCACAAUUCCAGCCUGUACUUUCCAGGAACAGCAACAGAAACGGAUUGCAUGAACUCCUUCAGGUAAACAUGCAUUGUGUAUGUUUUUUUUUAUGUAAACAAAAUCUUGAUAAUUGUCUAAUCUAGUGGAAGAAUAAUUUGAUUAAUUGAAGUUUACAUCAUGAUAACAAUCAAGUGUUAAUAUAUCACAUGGAACUUGAUUAAGAUAAAUAUUCCUGGCUGCUAUCUAUUCAGUUUGAUUGAUGGCACGUUUGCGCCUGUUGUGAGCAAAACUGUAACAGGAUUGGUUUUAAAGUCUGACAAAACCCAAAAGUCAACCCAUUUCAGCAUAAAUGGUCAACAGAGUGAACACAUUCAAACGCUUCAUUUUUCAACUGCACCAUGGAGACUGUGUUUGAAGAAGUGGAAACAUGACUGAGUAGGGUAUAGUAUAGCCAUAGUGUAGAUUAAACAUAGAUAUCUCAUUCUGUUUGAAAGUUCAGUUUUGUGGGAAGACAUCCAUUAAACUAUUCACACAGAUGGAAUGGCAACAAAGAACAACAAAUGAUGAGGUCAGGUGAAACACAAGGCACAGUGAAGGUCAGGACUCCCACUAUACACCUCUUAGGAAAAGGUAGAUUUCAGUCCUUUAGUUUAAUGGGCAUUUUCCUCUGCGCUCUCGUGCCUAUUCGCUUGGAAAUGUAAACAAAUAACUAUACUUCUUGGUCUGGAGGCACUGUGGAUAUGUUUCAAUGUUAUGAACACAUAUCCUUCAGACAAAAUGCAUUUAAACAGAAUAUUAUGUUUACAAAAUCCUCUGUAUAUCUUGCUCUAAACAUGACUCAUUGUGUCUUGUAGAUGAGUCAAAUUGAAACGGUCAGUCUGUUCUUUUUUUUUGCCACGGGGUUUUACAUACAACAAUAACACAACCUAGAAACAGUGUCCAGGCGGAGCUUAGAAAUGAGCUUCUGUCUGGAUGGGAUUUCAGCAGAUGUGUUGUAAUCACAGAGGAAUGCUUUGUGACAUAUCUACUUGUUCAGCCCAAUUUUCCCAGGACCCAAGAGUCUGUCUCACCCUCCUCACUCUGGACAAGGCAGCCAUGAAUAUGCAACAAAGCAUAAUUUAGUAGAUAGGAAUACAAUAGCAGCUUGCUGUGAAUGCAGUUGUCCAUGAAAGGAACCUUGAACGACGCUUUUAGAAUGGGUUUGAGUGUGUUUGGAAGAAAAUGAGUUUGGAGCUGAGAGAACAUUCAAAUGUUUAUACAAACCCAUUGCAGCGAGUGUAUAAAUAUGACAAGACAUUUGACUCAAUUUGCUUUGUCUUUCUUUGGUGGCAAUAAUAAUAAUACCAGAUCAAUUCAAACAUUUAUUAUAGAAGUGGUCACAAAAUUAAACACAGUUCUCACAGUUUUGUAUAUUCAAGUUCAACAAUAAAAUAUAAAAUAAAUAUUUAUCUCCAGGAUGUAGUGACAGGCCAGGUUUUCUAAAGUAGAUGUUUGUUUUCAUGCCCAGAAGUGAUUAUCAUAAUUAAUUGUAGUGUUAAUGUGGACAGGAAAAAGCCUCGCUUGAGGUUUUUUGAAAAUGAUGGGACUUGCUUACAUUAUAAUUACCUUGUCUAGCAUGGGUCCUUUAAUAUUUACAAACAGAUCUGUGCUUUUGUGUUUCUUCAUGGUUUUCUGCUUCUUCACCAAUAUAAGUGUUGCUGUUUCACCCCAAGAUGGAUUGUUUCUGGAGAGCAAACAUUACAGAGAGGCUGUUGCCAUUAUGAUUAUGGCUGUAAUGGCCUAUUUUUGAUCAAAUUACACUGAAGGCAUUUCAUUCACACGUCUGCCUUGCCACAGCCUGGAGGAGGAUGGGUUUUGCACUGACCUGAAAUAGCUCAUUAAAAGGGACAGUGGUGUGCAUACGUAAAUACGAUAUGACACAGAGUGACAGUUGGCAUGAAAAUGGGAUGCACAGAGCCACUGCUGUUCACCAGGGGUUGUCAUUAAUUAUCAAGUAAUAUGUGUAUUGCUGCAUUCCUUUGUGAACAAAAGAUGCUAAACUCACCACAAAUAUUCCAACAAUUACUCUGAAAUGUUCAAUAGUUUAUGCAUCGCUAAUAACAAUGCAUCUAUUUAGAAUUUCUAAAAUGUUUGAUGUAAUUGUAUAGGCUCCAACAACUGGUAAAACACUCCUGAAAUACUUCUCAGAAUCUCAUGUGUUCAGAGUUUAAUCUACUCUGAAAUACGUGACAGUUAUCUAACCGAAAAGCAAUGCUGUCACCCAAACCAUUAUUUUCCUCCGAGUUUCAGGUUUUACCCCAGGCAAAUCCAGCUUUCUUUUAAGACUCAUUAUUUCAUUAGAUUUCAACUCUCUCUUCUUUAUUAUUCUCUUUUCAUCCCCCUCUCUUGCCUUUUCAUCCCGAGGUGCCUGUAGACAGAAGUGGGGAGCAUCUGUUUCCCAUGUUAUGGAAGGCUCAUGUUUCUCCUCCACUGUCUUCCUUGAACAUGCUCCAAUUAACAGAGGGAAAACAAAGGCCAAUAUUUACAUGGCCGUCCACUGCAGAGGCAUUUUAUAAGUCAAUAAUUUGCUGGGAAUGCUUGUUGUUAUGUGAAUGACAUGGGAAAUGAGUACGUUUUCAUGGUGGAAUUUUACAAUGUCAAGAUGACAGGAGUUGCCUGAAGCGUAAGAGGAAUGGGAGACGGAGGAAUACAGCAGUGCUGAGUCAGAGGACUGGUAGUGGAUGACUGGCUACUAUUCUGAACUUUGUGUGGUGAGCUUUCUGGCACCCAGCGCUACCGAGGCAUCACCCAAGUUGGUGUUACACAGAGUGGAAGAGGAGAAGUCCAGCGGCUAUAAGAGACAGGCUGGUUUCCUGACUUGCCCUCUACAAGAUCAUCAGCGGGCUCCAUCACCAUCAUCUGCCAUCCUCUGACCAGAUCCCUACACUUGAGCCAUGAACUGACCCUCUCAAUCUUCAGAGGAUGCAGCGUACAAAGACUUGGCUUCUAUUGAGUGACCUGUCAUGUGACAUAUUGCUUGUUUUUUUGCUCUUAAAGCGCUUUGAGAUUCUCAGAUAAGCGCUAUAGAAAUGUAAUAAAUUAUUAUUAUUAUUAUCAUCAUCAUUAGUAUUGGUCCAAGACAGAAGCAUGUCAUCACUAACCUACAUGACCUAUCUGGAGAGGAAUGUUUUGUGCUGAAAACAAAGGGCAAUAUAUACCUUAUUGUCGUGUAAUUCUCCUGAGGCUCAUGUCAUCAAAUAGCUAAUAAGUAGCACAAAACCAGUGAUACUUAAAAUAUCUAUGGAUAAAAGAAGUUAACACCAUUGCUGCAUGAAAAACAGACCAUGCUUUUGAAAAUGUGAAAACACUGAUUUGCAGGGCAAUAUUUCCAUAAUAUGUAAAGCACUAAAUGUUUUAAUUCACUGUAGAUUAGUUGGUCCACAGUAGAAAACUGUUCUGUAUUUAUUGUACUAUUAAGCUUUUAAAGAGGCCUAGCGGAUUAACCCUGAGCGUAAUUAUGUACAAAAACCUUGGACUGCAUUUACCCUGUUUGUAGCUCAGAGAUGAAUUUGUGUCAUUUAAAUUAAAUGUAUGUGUGGUGCUGGAAGGCUCUUGUUUUUUUAUUGGAAUUAUAAGGUGUUGUGUACUGAAAUGAUUAAAAUCUGUAUUCUUUGAAUGUGUCAGGCAAAAAUCAAUAACGGCAAGCACAGCCCCAGCCACACUGGCUGGUGGGUUUCCUGGGCUUGCCAUGGACUGAUAAUAAUUCAAACUAAAUCACCACAUUCAUUUGUCUUCCAUCAGCCUCUGGAGACAUCUUUACUAUGUCUUUUGGUAUCUCAUUAUACUUUCUAAUCAAGACUGUUUAAAAAUGUUGUCCCAAAUAAGGGGGCAGACUGUUUGUCCCCCCCCCCCCCCAUGUGCUUGCAUUGCAGUCAUUGGACUUACACUUAUUAUGUUACAAAUGACCUAGGUAAUGCUAGACAUUUUCAUUGCAUGCAAAAAGGCCUGGCCAGUGAAGCCUCUUAUAAUGAUGCAGCUCUGAGCUCUUUCAUCACUCGGUAUCCCUAAUGAUGAUUCUCCAAUACAAUUAAAAUCCCAGCAUCCCGCUGUUACAGUGACAAAAUCAUCAAAUUAUUUUUCUCUCCCACCAUCUCUGUCGAUUCAGGCAAGCUUGAUUCAUCCGUUUCAGGCUGUCUGAAUGCAGUGUCGAAAUUGACUCAGAGGAAGGGGAAGAAAAUCAAUGAGCACAAGGGAUGGUGAACAAGCAAAUAAACCUGUUUUAAAUUCACAAUGCUGAAUAAGGAUCCCCCCCCCCCCACACACACACAUCUUUAAGUACUUUGUUUCUUAAUUACUGUCUCCAAUUACCUCCAGUGGAUGUACAAUUUGCUUAAGAAAAAGCCACAGUUCCCUUAAUUCAGAAGCAUUUUGCUCCCUUGAACAUUCAAACACAAAGCAUUCGCUGAUCAUUUCUGCUUUCUCUGAGCAAUUUGUUGCCAUCUGUGUAAAAGCCACAUAUCAACAAUUGAAUUAAAGGUUUGGGUGAUUAUAUGUAGCCUAUAUGUCUCAUAACAGCGUUAAAAUAUAUAUAUAAAAAAAAAUCUAAAAUCUAGAAUAUUUCCUGAUAAGCACUAAAUUGAGUCACAAACAUAAUAUAAUUUUUUUGUUCUACCUUUCCACCUGUCAAUUGAUUGAUUGAUUGCACAGUAGGCCUAUCGACAUAAACUAUCCACAUUCCCCCCGUUUCUGGGAGAGAAUUUGCAGCAUAUUGCUCUUCAGUUGUUUGUUGAAUGUAAUCAUUUGCACCCCCUGUCUAACCCAGACUAGGUCACAAGGUCUCUGCUCAGCCUGUUGCUGAUUGUCUGACCAAAGAAAGGAAAAACACAAUUAGGCACAGAUGGCACAGUCUUUGCUCAACUGUAGGAGAUGUGUUAAUACAUAAAGAUUUCUUUGAGUUGUUGUAUUACUGCAAGUCACUUACUCAAAGGACCAAAAGCACAGUAUAUUCAAAGAAUUCACUGGGAUCUGUGAGUAUGUAAUGUUUCAAGAUGUACCUUUUCAUUUAUCUCCUAUUUUAUGAUCCUAAGACAAAAACAGAUAUUGUAAGAGUCACUUGUUCCCCACAGAUGAAAAUAAAGUGUAUAUGUGUAA